UAGGGUUAGGGUUUGCCAAAGAACAAAAGAGAAAGUAGCUAUUUAAUCUUAAUUUCCUUAAUCUCCACCACCCAUAUGCCAUUUAUUUUCUCGUUGUUCGGCUGAGAACUCUCUACACUGAAGAAGAGAGAUGAAAAAAGUUUUGAGGAAAUCAUCAAAUGACUCCUCACACAACUCUACAAAUUCAUCAACCUUUACCGUGAGGACAGUGAGAUAUGUAGAGUGUCAAAAGAAUCACGCCGCCAGCGUCGGCGGAUAUGUCAUUGACGGUUGCCGGGAGUUCAUGCCGGGAGAAACUUCCGGCGCCGCCCUAACUUGUGCAGCCUGUGGCUGUCACCGCAACUUUCAUAGAAAGGAAGUGGAAACUGAUGUUGCUUCUGAUUGUACUUCUGCUUCUUCCAUUACUACAUGAAAGCCAGUUAAAGAAGCUGUGUUGCUUGAAGGAUCUCUGAUUGGUCAAGAUAAGGUUAGGCCGGUUGAAGAGUGGGGACGGAAGGCCAAUGUUAAAAAGAAAACAGAAGGAAGGUGGCUGGUAAAACCGUAAAGAUCAGAGAGGUGGAGGCAUGCAUUUAAGUGGAAAAUAAAAAAGAAUGAAGAGAUUUCCAAAAGAGUCAUGUUCAGUAUAUGGCAUGUGGCUGGUAAGCACAAAUGUCUGAAUCUCUCAGUUGGAGUUAGGUAUUAUGGGAAGGGAACAAAGCUUUAGGUAAGUGUUAAUUUUUAAUCAGGUAAGUGUCAAAUCUAUGAAUGUAUUGAAGCCUCACAGCCGCUUGUUUUUCGAGUUCCACCACUUUCUUUUUGUACCCGAUUGAAAACAUGGCUUCCAACUUUAAUUUCAAGCCAUUAUAGGAUUCCGUUUAACACAUGUAUAACAGUUAUCUGCUUAUAAAUUACAGAAAAAGAGUGCCCUUUUCUACUUUUACAUGAUCCUUACUCCUUACCCUACUCUAACGUCUAUAUUGAAAAGAAAAAAAAAGACUUUAGGUCUAACUCAACCCCAAAAAUUAGUUCAAGAGGUGAAAAUUAUUUAAAACCAUACUAGGAGACCAAGAAACAUAUGGAGCGUGAACAAUAUAAGAUGAGGCCCAACAUCGGGUAAGCAAUCAAUUGGGAUGAGUCUGACUCUGCUAUCAUGGGGAAAAAAAUGGACCUUGAGCUUAAGUAAACCCCAAAAGGUAGUUCAAGAUGUGAGGAUUACCCAAAAUCUGAAGAACAAAAAAUAUAUAUCCCACUAAUGUGGGACUCUAACACAUAUUGGUUUUCUUGCUAUAUGCUGAUCAGUUAAACUCUUCAUGUUAAACUGUGGUGAGUUGAAUUAUUUGAUGACAUUCUUGAUCAUUCUAUGCUUUCCUAAUCAUUGCGAUUUAACGACUAUAAUGUAGAUACUAACAUCUCAAUGAAUGAAAUUCUACAACUAAGGUUGCAUGCA